rnacentral:pre_miRNA from 1 species
GAUGGAUGUGGCCACGGUAUGGUACAUUCGGCUAUCACCGGGAAUACAUUCAUCAA